rnacentral:rRNA from 1 species
UUGAAAUCCCCCUUUAUGGGUGUUUUACGAAGAAAUACUAUUUUUGCUUGUUUUGACGAUCCCCAAUACAGAAAAGAUAAAAAGGGUUCAGGAAUUGUUAAAUUUAGAUAUAGGACCCUAGAAGAAGAAUAUAGGACUCGAGCAGAAGAUUCAGAAGAGGAAUAUGAGACCCUAGAAGACAAAUACAGGACCCGAGAGGACGAAUAUGAAUAUGAAACCCUAGAAGAAUCUAAAUAUCGAAUCCUAGAAGACGAAUACGAAUAUGAAACCGUAGAAGACGAAUAUGGGAGCCCAGAAAACGAAUAUGGGAACCAAGAGAAAGAAUAUAGGACUUAA